UGUUCUAUGUUUACGGAGGCUAUGUUAGCAAUUGAGUUGACUCAUAGUUAAGGUUGGAAGUUUCUUUGGUUGGAGUUUGAUCCUCAACUUGGCUUUCAAGAAAUGAUGCAUUUACUACCAGAAAACUCAGUUUGCGACACCUUUAUUACAAUGGUUAUUCCAAAACUACCAUAGAUUAGUGCUUACAACGGGUUUGGCGAGGAUUACUGAUCAACCGCCGCAACGUUUUUAUUAUACAAAUGAAAGCACACCGUAUGUACUUCACUCUCCAUAUCGUGACGAUGAAGACAAAGAUGAAGAUGUGAUGGGUGUGACAAUAGCCCUUGAUUUUGCAAAAGAAACGCACCUUGAAAUUGCAAAAGCACACGUUAAACAAAUUUAACAUCACAAUCGUUUCUCACCUCAAUUUUUCUCUUGUUACCAUUUUAGCCACAUAAAUCCCAAAACCUAAAUCAAAUACUUCAAUCGCAGCUACAAUUGUAUCCCUCUGUUUCUUAUCUCUGUUUUAUAUUCAAGCCCUCAAAAUUGAAUCCCUCCGUUUCAUAAUCGUUUUCAAAUCACUUCACUCACUCACCUUGUUUUCUAAAGUCCAGCCAAAAGGUACAUUUUCUUGAAAGCAGAGGUUGAAGUUAGGUUGAGGAUCUUAUGUUAUAUCAUUUGGUGAUUGGACUAAAAUUUGUCUAUGAUAAUACAAGCAAUGAUCUGUUUCUGGUGAUUCUGGAAAUGCAAGAUAUGUUCUGUUUCAGUUGUCUUUGAUGAAUGCAGCUAUGCUCUGAUUCGUCAGCCUCCGAUGACUACAAUUUACAUCUGUUUGUCUGCCUCUGAUACUCUUGACAAACAAGUGAUUGUCUGUCUUUGAUAAUCACAUCAAUUAUUUGAUUGUCUCACUUUGAUUUAUAAUGUAUGCUAUGAUGAAAGUCAACUCUAUGAAGAAAGUCAAUAUUAUGAUGAAAGUCAAUGCUCUAAUAAAAGUCAAUGAUGUGAUGAAAGUCAAUGCUCCAAAGAAGACAAAGCUUUGAGCAUCCUAUGAUAACCAUCCUAAAUGUGUUAUAUGUUUGGAGGUCUACGAGACAUACUCUGAUGAUCGUUGUUGCGACCGAUUUGUCUGUGAAAAAGAAGUUGCCACCAAUUUUAUUUUAUUAAAAGAAAAAUUAGUUAAAACUCUAAAA